rnacentral:rRNA from 1 species
AACGAACGCUGGCGGCGUGGAUAAGUCAUGCAAGUCGAACGGGACAAGUAGCAAUAUUUGUCUAGUGACGAACGGGUGCGUAACACGUGGGCAACAUGCCUGGAAGAGCGGGAUAGCCCGGGGAAACUCGGAUUAAUACCGCAUGUGACAACGGGGCAGAUUCGCACUGUUUUCAACGGUGGGGACCGCAAGGCCCGCCGCUUCCAGAUUGGCCCGCGUCCUACCAGCUAGUUGGCGGGGUAACGGCCCACCAAGGCGACGACGGGUAGCUGGUCUGAGAGGACGACCAGCCACACUGGAACUGAGACACGGUCCAGACACCUACGGGUGGCAGCAGUCGAGAAUCUUUCACAAUGGGGGAAACCCUGAUGGAGCGACGCCGCGUGGAGGAUGACGGUCUUCGGAUUGUAAACUCCUGUCAUGAAAGAACAAGCGGAGCGGGUGAACAGCCCGCCGAGUUGAUAGUAUUUCAAGAGGAAGGGACGGCUAACUUCGUGCCAGCAGCCGCAGUAAUAC